AAAAAAGAAAAGUCUUCAAAAACUACUGACUUAAUAUAAGGGCUUGGACCUAUUUGAGCUGCCAGUGAACCAUGGAUUAAUAGAAGAAACCUUAGCACAAGGGAAAUAAAGAAUUUCAUUGUCAUUUGAGAAUUAACUCAGCUCAGAGACGAGAUCAUUAAUCACCCUGCUGAUUUGGGAAGAGAGACCCAGAGCCUGGAGUGACCGGUUAACUGGACCGAGAGGCAGGCUUCACUGAGGCGAUGGAAUAUACAGGACCACUUCAUUAAUAAAACCAACAAUUUACAGCA